CGUUGAGGCACGAAAGCGUGGGGAUUGAACAGGAUUAGAUACCCUGGUAGUCCACGCAGUAAACGAUGAGCGCUAACUGUCCGGAGCGAGCGAGCUCUGGGUGGUACAGUGAAAACGUUAAGCGCUCCACCUGGGGAGUACGCCGGCAACGGUGAAACUCAAAGGAAUUGACGGGGGCCCGCACAAGCGGAGGAACAUGUGGUUUAAUUCGAUGAUACGCGAGGAACCUUACCCGGGCUCAAACGUAAGCGGAAUAACGGUGAAAGCCGUUAGCUAUUUAUAGCCGCUUACGAGGUGCUGCAUGGUUGUCGUCAGCUCGUGCCGUGAGGUGUCGGCUUAAGUGCCAUAACGAGCGCAACCCCCAUCGCCAGUUGCUAACAGGUAAUGCUGAGGACUCUGGCGAGACUGCCGGCGCAAGCUGCGAGGAAGGCGGGGAUGACGUCAAAUCAGCACGGCCCUUACGUCCGGGGCGACACACGUGUUACAAUGGCAGGUACAGAGAGAAGCCAUCCCGCGAGGGAGAGCGGAACUUGAAAGCCUGUCUCAGUUCGGAUUGGAGUCUGCAACCCGACUCCAUGAAGCUGGAUUCGCUAGUAAUCGCGCAUCAGCCA
rnacentral:rRNA from 1 species